rnacentral:lncRNA from 1 species
GCAGCCCGCCCGGGGCGGCAGCAGAAGCAGCGGCGGCCUCAGCGCUUGAGCAUCGCCAGCCCCGAGGGUAGCGCGCUGCGCCCGCGGGGCGCGCUGAGCGCGCAACAAGUGGUACCCGAGGUGUCCCUGGCUGGCUUCCCAGCGAAAUGCUGAGCCAUGGAGCCCUACUAGCCUUGUGGAUCGCACUGAGCGUCCUGCAGACUGGAGUGGCAGAGCAAGUGAAAUGUAACUUCACGGUGCUGGAGUCCAAGGUCUCUAGCUUGUCAGCGUCUAUCCAGUGGAGGACGUUCGGGUCACCCUGUAACUUUAGCCUCAUCUACAGCAGUGAUACCUCAGGGCCCUUGUGGUGCCAUCCCAUUCUGAUAGACAACUUUACC